UCCCCACCCACAUCGCCAAACCCCACCACGCCGCCACCAUCAGCACCUGCACCAGCCAGCUCUCACCGACCAACCAGCGCCACUCCGCCGCCCGCCGGAUCCAGCGAUCCGGCAUGCAGCCCUCCUCCUCCUCCUCCUCCUCCGCGCACCCGCCGGACCACCCCGGCGCCAAGCCCCCGGCCCCUCCGGCGCCCGCCAUGGGCUACCCCGCCAACCCUUCCCCCAACGGGAACCCCGCCCCCGCCGCCGCCUACUUCGCCGCCGCCGCGCCGCCUCCCUCCGCCGCGGGGCCCCCCAACGGCACCGCGGCCUUCGGCGUCGCCUACCCUUACCCCGCUCCCCCGCACCACCCGCCGCCGCCCCACCACCCCUACCCCUACCCGCCGCCGCCGCCGCACCACCACCACCACUACGCGCCCCACCCGCCGCCGCCCACCUGCCUGCGCCGCCUCCUCGCGGCCGUCGUCGGCGCCUUCCUCCUCCUCGGCGCCGCCACCUUCAUCGUCUGGCUGCUCCUCCGCCCGCGCGCGCCCGCCUUCUCCCUCACCUCCCUCGCGCUCUCCGGCGUCGCCUACUCCCCCUCCAACUCCUCCCUCUCCGCCACCUUCGACGCCGCGCUCCUCGCCGCCAACCCCAACGCCAAGCUCUCCGUCACCUACUUCUCGCCCCUCGCCUCCGUCUCCUUCGCGCCCUCCUCCCCGAUCGCCGUCGCCUCGCUCGCGCCCUUCAGCCAGGGCCCCGGGAACACCACCACGCUCGCCUUCCGCCUCGUCGUCGACGACGCCUACGUGGGGCCUGACGAUGCCGCCCCGCUCAGGAGCGGCGGGGGCGGGGGCGCCGUCGGCGUCCAGGUCCGGCUCAUGGCCGUUGCCGUCUUCGACAGAGGGGGCUGGCGCACGCGACGCAGGGUCAUGAGGGUUAUGUGCGACGGCGUGCAGGUGGUUUUCCGCGGGAAGAACUCCACCGAGGCAGCGUUCAGCGGCCCGCCGAGACGGUGCGAUGUCGUGUUGUGAAGAUCUCCUUUGUUGUGUUUGUGCGUAGUGUACUGCUGGAUACUGAUUCACUUUCAGGAGAAUAUGUUGGCAGCAAUCACUGUUGUCAUGUAGCGUCCAGACUAUUAAGUCUAAGCUUGCAAAACAGGAUUCACAAUACCAUGUUCGUUGACUACUGGGGGCUGCUGAUCGGAGGGAACUUAUUCCAUAGGUACAAGAAGCUAACUGGCACUGCGAGAUGGUGUAUCGGCAUUGAUUUGAUGAGCCUGGGAAACCAUGGUUUUGCCUGGCUGUAAUAGAGUAGCGAGCGAGAGAGUUCUGAAAUGAUUGGGAGAAAUAUGAAUCUGUAUCUAUGAUAGCUUCAACACGAAUGGUUGUGAAGGUUAUGGCAAGGAUGUUUGUGCGUGGUGGUCAUUUUGCGUGUGCUAUGGAGCCUCAUGGGAAAUGUACAUUGAGUCAAUGCUUGGAAGCAGAAAAUCUUCUUCGGCAUGGAUGGUCGAAAGACAGGAAUACACCACCAUCCAUUGCUUA